GCAGUGUACCCGCGGCAAGACGGAAAGACCCCGUGAACCUUUACUAUAGCUUGACACUGAACAUUGAGCCUUGAUGUGUAGGAUAGGUGGGAGGCUUUGAAGCGUGGACGCCAGUCUGCGUGGAGCCGACCUUGAAAUACCACCCUUUAAUGUUUGAUGUUCUAACGUUGGCCCCUUACCGGGGUUGCGGACAGUGUCUGGUGGGUAGUUUGACUGGGGCGGUCUCCUCCCAAAGCGUAACGGAGGAGCACGCAG
rnacentral:rRNA from 1 species